GGUUUUGUAGCUCAGUUGGUUAAAGCGCUAAUUUUAUGAGUUGAAAGUCGUGGGUUCAAGCCCUACAGAAAAUU
rnacentral:tRNA from 1 species